UACGUAGGGGGCAAGCGUUGCCCGGAUUUAUUGGGCGUAAAGAGCUCGUAGGCGGCCUGUUGCGUCCGCUGUGAAAACCCGGGGCUUAACCCCGGGCUUGCAGUGGAUACGGGCAGGCUGGAGGCAGGCAGGGGAGAACGGAAUUCCCGGUGGUAGCGGUGAAAUGCGCAGAUAUCGGGAGGAACACCGGUGGCGAAGGCGGUUCUCUGGGCCUGUACUGACGCUGAGGAGCGAAAGCGUGGGGAGCGAACAGGAUAGAU
rnacentral:rRNA from 1 species